rnacentral:rRNA from 1 species
UUAUCGGUGUACGAUGGGGAUGCGUUCCAUUAGGUAGUAGGCGGGGUAACGGCCCACCUAGCCGACGAUGGAUAGGGGUUCUGAGAGGAAGGUCCCCCACAUUGGAACUGAGACACGGUCCAAACUCCUACGGGAGGCAGCAGUGAGGAAUAUUGGUCAAUGGACGAGAGUCUGAACCAGCCAAGUAGCGUGAAGGAUGAAGGUCCUACGGAUUGUAAACUUCUUUUAUAAGGGAAUAAAACCUCCCACGUGUGGGAGCUUGUAUGUACCUUAUGAAUAAGCAUCGGCUAACUCCGUGCCAGCAGCCGCGGUAAUACGGAGGAUGCGAGCGUUAUCCGGAUUUAUUGGGUUUAAAGGGAGCGCAGACGGGUCGUUAAGUCAGCUGUGAAAGUUUGGGGCUCAACCUUAAAAUUGCAGUUGAUACUGGCGUCCUUGAGUGCGGUUGA